rnacentral:rRNA from 1 species
GAUGAACGCUGGCGGCGUGCUUAACACAUGCAAGUCGAACGAACAGACGAUGAGCUUGUUCCUUUGACGUGAGCGGCGCGCGGGUGUGAAACAUGUGUAUAAUCUACCUAUAUUACUGGGAACACCUGGGGAAACCGGCGCUUACAGCGGAUAAUAUCCUGAAGCGCAUGGUUCAAUAGUGAAAGACGGCUUUUCUGUCACUUCUCGCUGCAUCUGCGCUGCAUUAGGUGGUUGGUAGGGUAACGGCUUACCAAGGCGACGAUGCGUAGCCGACCUGAGAGGCGGAUAGGCCGCACUGGAGCUGGGACGCGGUCCAGACUCCUACGGGAGGCAGCAGUAGGGAAUCUUCGGCAAUGGGGGAGAGCCUGGCAGAGCAACGCCGCGUGUGUGAUGAAGGCCUUCGGAUCGUAAAGCUCUGUUAUUAGGGAAGAACAGAUGUGUCAGGAGACGAGGACUGAUUGACGGUACCUAAUCAAGAAGCACCGGCUAACUACGUG